rnacentral:tRNA from 1 species
GGGAAGGUGGCUCAGUGGUAGAGUGCUUGCCUUGCAUGCAUGAAGCCCUGGGUUUGAUUCCUCAGUCCCA